GCGCAGAACCUUACCAGCCCUUGACAUCCCGGUCGCGGAUCGCAGAGAUGCUUUCCUUCAGUCGGCUGGACCGGUGACAGGUGCUGCAUGGCUGUCGUCAGCUCGUGUCGUGAGAUGUUGGGUUAAGUCCCGCAACGAGCGCAACCCCCGCCUUCAGUUUGCCAACGGUUCGGCCGUGCACUCUGGAGGAACUGCCUGUGACAAGCAGGAGGAAGGUGGGGAUGACGUCAAGUCCUCAUGGCCCUUAUGGGCUGGGCUACACACGUGCUACAAUGGCGGUGACAGAGGGAUGCAAUACCGCGAGGUGGAGCAAAUCCCUAAAAGCCGUCUCAGUUCGGAUUGUUCUCUGCAACUCGAGAGCAUGAAGUUGGAAUCGCUAGUAAUCGCAGAUCAGCUCGCUGCGGUGAAUACGUUCCCGGGCCUU
rnacentral:rRNA from 1 species